rnacentral:rRNA from 1 species
AGAUUGAACGCUGGCGGCAUGCCUAACACAUGCAAGUCGAACGGGAGUAGCAAUACUCUAGUGGCGGACGGGUGAGGAAUACGUAGGAAUUUGCCCUUAAGUGGGGGAUAACCCGGGGAAAUCCGGAUUAAUACCGCAUGACCUCGAAAGAGCAAAGUGGGGGAUCGCAAGACCUCACGCUUUUGGAGAAGCCUACGUCGGAUUAGCUAGUUGGUGAGGUAAGC